UUGAAGGUACCAGUAUUGAGUUGAAUGCUUUUUUUUUAGGUACUUUGUAUUCUUUGAUUUUGACCUUCAGCUACAUGUUAAAAACCACCAAUUUUGGCUUUUACUAAGUUAAAUAAAGUUAUAAUACAGUUGUAAAGAGCUAAAGUUAGAGUUGAUUACAUAACAGUAUUUCCCAAGUUUUCUAGUCUUUUCUUUAAAACAUAUAUGUAUAGAUUUAAUCAGUUACUUUUGAAUCUUUGGGUAUAUAUAAUUUGGGGAAAGUAUUUUUAUGGCUUGGUAUUUCAUCAUAAAUUUAGAAGCUUAAUAGAUUCAAAUUUUCUAAAGCCAGAUGAUAGGCUCACCAUAUUUAGAUUAGCGUGUUCAUGCUUGGCUAUAGGAUUUAAAAUGUCUGAAAAGCCUGAUGAGGAAAAAUAAAAAGAAUUUUAUUCUUUUAAAUGUAAACCAAACAAAUUUAAAUACUAGUAGUUUGAUUCACACAAACCUUUUCAAUUCUAUGAGCGUUCUUUGUAGAGAAUUUCUUAAGCCAGGUAUUAUAACUCACCCUACUACCAGUACAUACCGUGUGAUAUUAAAACAGUAUGAUUUUACAGAAUACAGUGGGCAUUGAAGUAACAAAUUCUCUAUGUACAAAGCUCCUUUGUAAGGAAGCAUGCAUUUUAAAAGAGGAGAAUGGGAAUCAGGAGAAGAAGUUACUGUCCACUUGAAGAUUUAGUCAUCUUUGGAUGCUUUCCACAGAAAGUUUGUUUUCCUCUGCAUAUGAAUGAAGAAUGAAGCAGCAUUAUGAAUAAGGUACACAUUUUAGGCAUCUAUGAUUGAUUAUGUUAAAAGGAGCAGCAGCACCUGUUUGCUUUGAACCCUUUCUAUAACAUCAGGGCUUAUAGGCUCCAGAUUUCUUGGCACUGAAAAAAGAAGUUGAAGUGGGUAAAUGAAGGUUUGCCUCAAGAGUCUAGUCAUAGUGGUGAACUCUUGAGUGCUUGUGAGAAGAUUUGAUGGGCUUUGCAGAAGUGAUGAGCCCAGCUUUUAUCUGGGGCCACAUAGUAAUUUAGUCAUUGGGGAUCCAAAGGCAUUGUGUGAAUUGGGAAGCCUGGAAUAUGUCAGAAAGACAUUGAGAUUGGCUUCUAACACUCUCCAUACUCGAGGUGGGAGAAUAGGCUACAUUCUGCCAAUUCCAGAAUCAGCCAAUCCUUGAGCUUUGACACUGUGCAAAAUCAUGACCUUCUGUCUAUGAGGGUAGCUGAACUCAGCAUAUAAUUAUAAAUUAAUAGCUACAAUUUUAGGAAGUGCAGUGUGUGGGGAGGGGAAAUUGUUUUUCACAAACCAUUUGUCAUCAUGGCCCUUGCUGUGAUGGGAUCUUGACAUGAGGAGGAAUAAGUUAUAAACAUUUUUCUUUCUGGUAGUGAGCAGGUACUAUAUCUAGUAGGGCAUUUUGAAAUGGUUUGUUAUUGCAAGUACUUUCUCGGGAUUAUUUAUUUCUUAAACCGAGUUAAUGGCUUUGAAGAUAUCUUUGAAGUAAGAAAUCACAUUUAUGGAUAUGGGUUUUGAUAAACUGGGUUUCUGAUUUCCAUGAUGAGCAAAGGAAAUGAAACACCAACUCACAUGGACUCUUAGAGCCUGACUAUCACUUAGCAUAUUGAAAGUAUUUUUUUCCUUAAGACCAGUAGCUGGUAAAGGGAAGAUUUAUUUUUAUCAGCAAGUUUACAGAAAGCAGAGGCAAGUGUUGCUGGAAAUCUUUGGUAUGGCACCAGCUCCUAAAUUCCAUGUUUAACCCUAUGGAAUCCAUUCUUCAUGUAGCAGCUAAAAUAAUUUUGAGUAAAUUGGAUGAUGUCAUUCCUCUGCUUAGAACGUGUAUUGCUUUCCAGUGUGCUGAGAGUAAAAUCCAAACUUCUUAAUGAA